AAAAAAAGAAAAAGAGGAAGUUCUGUCCGCUAUGUUUUACAACGGAGUCCUAUGGGAGUGUCGCCACUCUGUUCUAUCUUCCGCUCUACCCCAGACUAAGCUUCAUACGGUAGCUCCAGAGAAAGUUCACACCUGCAGUUUUGGCGCCCUCUUCUGUUCACACUGGGACAAAGUUUCGUUUUUCAACAGGUCAGAAGAGAUCUUGAGACCAAUAACAAGACAUGGGUCCAGCAGGGACAACUGCCGCCAUUGUAGGAGGUGCAGUGGUUGCUACGGUCGGGGCUCCUGUUGUUCUGGGAGCCAUAGGUUUCACCUCAGGAGGAAUAGCAGCAGGCUCAUAUGCAGCCGGCAUGAUGUCGUCAGCUGCAGUUGCUAACGGAGGAGGAGUGGUAGCAGGAAGUCUGGUGGCUACUCUGCAGGCGGCAGGUGCAGCUGGUCUGUCAGGAGCUGCCACUGCAGCUGUGGCCGGCACUGGAGCAGCAGUGGGAUGGCUCACAAGCUUCUUCCGCUGAAAAUCAUGAUGGCUCAAGAUGCAUUUCCAGUAUUUUUACUUUUGCCAAAUGAAGAUUUCUGCAAAUCACAUCUGAUAAUUUACCAAAUGGCACUUUUGAUUUCAGACAACUGAAAGUUGUUGUGCAAUAAAUGUGUUAAUUGAAAAAAAAAAAAUACUGGUUCAGUGUGUCGUCUGUAAAUAGAUCUGUAAAUGAAUAUUAACGCAACCACAUGAACAAAAAGCUGAGCAGAGACUCUUCUUCCUAGACAACUUUGGAAUUCAAAGUGAAACACUGAAUCCUCUAGUUUUAUACAGCCAUCAUUGAAAGUAUCCUCGCUAAAUCUGUAACAAUUUGAUACAGCAGCCUAGAUACUUAUAUUUGCAUAAAAGCACAUUGUCAACAGAUCCGCCAAACUCAUAGACUCCCCUUCUCAUCACUUAACUCACUACAACAAAUCAGAGGGGCUGGUAAAAUGAUAUUUCACCCAUCCCACCCUGCUCACUAAUGUAAAUCCAUCCAAUAGUUGUUGAGAUAUUCCAGCCUUCUCUGUUUUUGUUGUUGUGAAUACAAUAUACAAUUAAAGCUGCAAGCAGCGAUGAACGGGCCCUCGCAGUCCACGCGCAUCGGGGCAUGCUGCCGUCGGGGGGCUUGCAGCUAGAUGUCUUGUCAGCUGUAAUAAAUUAAAAAAUAAACGUUAUCUCUUUCUUACAUUUCCAGUAUACAGGUAGGCACCCAACCCAUGUAUGUAUUUUUCCAAAAAGUAGAAGCUGAAUACAUGCCCAACAGUUCAAGGUCUUCUGACUCUUUGAAAGUUGACAUGGUGUCUCUAGCUCAAAGUAUGAGGGACAAGAAGAGGUUGAAAGUCGAUGAGUUUUGAAGAGGAUUUGAAGAUUUUCCAAUUUACUUCCAUUCACACUAAUUAGACUGCCACCAGAGCGCCACCUAUUGGCCGAUUUGCACCGAAUUUUGCACAAACCCUCAUCGGGCCAUGGAACACAAUUAGCAAAAGUGUUGUGGUAAUCCGACUGUAUUUGGUCAAGAUAUGAAAGACUGUCUGUUUUGAAAACAAUGUGCAGGAAUUUGUUGUUUUAUAUUUUGGGCGUUUUUUGGACGAUCAAAAUUCUUUUAAUAACUUUUUGUCAGGAGGGUCCACAGAUGCUUCAUGCAAAGUUUGGUGCAAAUCAGUCAAAUCGCCUAGGAGGAGUUCGAAAAAGUACGUUUUUCAUUUGUCGCGAUUUAGCGAAUGGAAAGUUACCGCGAAAGUGGGCGUGGCUUACACCACACAAUUCAGCUGAAUUCAGAGAACACGUAAAUAGAAGGUUUAACAAUGUGCGACAUAUUAUGUGGGAGUUAUUAGCCAAAAACGCUUUUGCAUUGAAAAUAGCGCCACCUGCUGGUCAUUUUUGGUGUGUGAGUUACAGGGGCCAGUCUAUACCACCCCUAUCAAUUUUAUUUCCAUGAGUGUUAUGGUGUUGGCACUGUGCCAAAUAUUAAAUUAGACGGCCACCAGAGCGCCACCUAGUGGCGGAUCGGUAAGUCCUUCGUCAGAUAUCCUCAGGAGGGCACUGACAAUAAUUAUACCAAGUUUCAUGUUAAUCCGCCCAACUGAUGUUGAGAUAUAAAAUACUUCAAUUUAAAGAGCGCCACCUUGUGGUCAUCACCCGAAAUUUUGCACAGGGGCUCAUGGGGAAGUGGUAACCUCAGUUUCAUGUCAUUCGGAUACACCAAUGUGGAGAUAUGCAGCACUUCCUGUUUAGAAUGAAAUCUGCAGGAAGUUGCUAUUUAAUAACUUGAGUAUUGUUUGGAAUAUCGAAAUUCUUUUAAUAACUUUUUGUCGGGAGGGUCCACAGAUGCUGUGUGCAAAGUUUCAUGCCAAUUGGUGAAAUUGCCUGGGAGGAGUUCGAAAAAGUAGGUUUGCGACAUUUUGCGAAUUUGCAAAAAAAAAAAAAGGUAGGCGGAAAUGGGCGUGGCCUAUACCACAAAAUUCAGCACAAUUCACUGAACGCGUGGAUAUAAGGUUUUUGAAUGUGCGACAAAGUAUAUGGGAGUUAUGAGCCAAAACACACUUUCCUUAAUAAUAGCGCCACCUAGUGGUGAAAAUUCAGGACGACAAUAGAUUAUAACAUUUUUCGCCAGGUGUGACUUAUAUUCCAAGUUUGGUGAGUUUUGUGGUAUGUUCAGGCAGUGAAAAAUGUGAUCAUAUGGGCAGAAGAAAAAAAAAUAAAAUAAAUAAAUAAUUGGGAGAAAAACAAUAGGGACCUCGCAGGUCUGUGACCUGCUCGGGCCCUAAUUAUUAAUAUUGUACUUAUCUAAAAUACUUUGAUCCCAGUAAAAGCCACUGUGACCUCGAGUGCCAAAACAUUAACUUCAGUGAGGUAAAGAUGAAAGUUUGUCCUGAAUGCAGGUUUGAAGGAGCAGCUGGAGCUAAACUGGUUCAGCAGCUCUUUAAGUGUUCAUGUGUUUUGUUUUUCCUCUUAUGUUCCAAUCAUAGACAUGAUUACCAUCUUAAAAAUGUUUAUUACUUGAAUUCAUUUGGGCUGAAUGUAGACAGGGACUCUGUGACCCUGCCCUCCAUUUAGAUUUUAAAAGUUUCAUUUUUGAAGAAGUGAAACCCGACCCACACAGUGCCCCAUAUAAAGCUCAGCUCAGCUUGUGACUCAACAAAACAAAUAGACAUGGACCCUGGCACAGCUGCAGUGAUUGGGGGAGCAGUUGCUGUGGUUGCGGCUCCUCUUGUUCUGACUGGCGCAGGUUUCACCGCAGCUGGAGUAGCAGCAGGCUCCAUUGCUGCAAAAAUGAUGUCAUUUGCUGCAGUUGCUAACGGAGGAGGAGUGGCAGCAGGGGGUCUGGUGGCUGGUCUGCAGGCAGCAGGUGCAGCUGGUCUGUCAGGAGCUGCCACUGCAGCUGUGGCCGGCACUGGAGCAGCAGUGGGAUGGCUCACAAGCUACUUCUACUGAAAAUCAUGAAGGCACAAGAUGCAUUUACAAUAUUUUUUACUUUCUCUCAUAUUAGGGAAGCAACAGCAAAUUUAAAAUGUUCACUUACUUAACUUUUGUAAUUUCAGAUGAGUUAAACGUUUCGUGCAAUAAAUGUGUGUAACCUGGGAAA